UUAGCAAAUAAGGUCUUCAAGCUCAGCGGUGCCAGUUUACCGAUGGAACCGCGGGAGCUUAAUGUGCGCUUGUCUUCAGGGGACAGCUAGUCACCAGCAGAGGAGGAACAAGAAGAAAAACCUACCUGUCAGGAGGUCUCCUUCCUCCACACCCUGAGACCCCCCUUAUCAGCCCCUCGUGGCUUCCUGGAAGGAGAGAUGGCCAUUACAGCCAGGAACGCACGAAUGCCUUAUAGAAGCGCGGUGCUGAGCCCAGAAGCCAAGCUGGGGAGGGAGAGCCCUACCUCUCUCUGCACUCCCUCAAGAAGCCCCCGUGGUUCGCUGCCAGCAGCCCUGCGCUCUCGCCAGAGCCCCAGGCACCCAGACUUCUCCCUGGAUAAGCUGACAUACAGCUGCUCCAUGCACCCCCUGGAGCUGCCUACUCCUUCUCCGCUGCUGAGGAGAGUCGCCAGAGUGGUGACAGUGACCUGGUUGCACAGACUAGUCUGAAUGGACUCCAACUUCUUUUAAAGCAAAUGGGAGUAUGUCUGAAAUAUUUCAUAAUUUUAAAAACAUCAUUGCUUACUUGGGU